rnacentral:tRNA from 1 species
GGCGGCUCAGUGGUAAAGCAUCAGUCUGCAAUGCUGGAGGCGCAGGUUUAAUCCUUGUGUCA